rnacentral:lncRNA from 1 species
CUAGAAAAGACCAAAUUAUCAAAUUAUUUUUUUUCUAUGCCUCAGAAGCCCAGCUGGAAAGAUUCAACGCUGAUCCUAGCAGUCCAUUCCCAUUUGUUAAGAUCAUAGAAUCAUAUCAUAGAAUGACUCAUGUUGGAAGGGAUCUUAAACACCACCUAGUUCCUGGCACAGGCAGGGACACCUCCCACUCAACCAGGUUGCCCAAAGCACCAUCCUGGUCUUGAACAUCUCCAGGGAUGGGGUAUCCACAACUUCGCUGGCUAACCUCACCACUCUCUGAGUGAAGAAUUUCCUCCUCACCUCUAAUCUAAAUCUCCCUUCUUUUAGCUUAAAACCAUUCCCCCUUGUCCUGUCAUUAUAUGACUGAGCAAAAAGUUGCUCUCCAUCUUUUUUAUUAGCCCCCUUUAAGCACUGAAAAGCUUUAAAACAGCCUACCACUAAAGUACUGCCAUCAGGCAUGGGAGAUCAACUCCAAGCAGAGCAGAAGGCAGGGAUGAGGCCUCCCUCAUCCUGAGUUACUGGCCUCAAACUGCCCUUUCUGCAAGGGUAAGUGGCACCUCCUCUGCACCUUUUUGUGCCCUGCCUCAAAUGUGAACUAUGCAGCUAGAUAAAGGCACUUGCUACUUUCCUACCAGUCCAUAUGUGAUUUGGAGAACAACUCUGGUCUUUGGGUAUGCCUGAAAUGAAUAUGCUUCAUCAGGCCUCUAAAGGCAUCUUACUCUCUUUGCUUACUGAAUAUGGAACUUAAACAGCUUGAGUAGGUGAAUUAGACUGCUCCUUCUGCAUGCCUCAUUUCAUUUUCAAGCUGCUAUUCUUCCUGCCAAGAUGGACUUGAAUCAAAAGGAACUUGAAAAGAAACUCAAAGAGGAGAUGAUCACCAACUCAAAUGGCAGUAUCUGUGUACAAACAGAUGAUCACCUGGAUGACAAACCAGCACCCAAAACAGCAUUCCCAGCAUUGAAGGGCCAAGGACAAAAGACUCUUAUCAUGUGGUAAUGCUGUUGAGAGUGUCACACAGCAAAAAUAUGGGAAGUUGUGAGGAGGAAGGGUAUUUAGUAGUCAGUUAGGGGGACCAGAAAGAAAGAAAUUGCAUUGAAUACUAUCUGAGCAAAGAAAAGUAUGAAUGUGUAUUUACCUUUGUAUAACGGAGCAGACAUCAGGACCAAAAAGGGCAAAGACAGAGAAAGACUCUAGGACUCCUUAGACAGUUCCAUCCAACUUCAAGAGUAAUGGGGAAGCUGGGGCAGAGAAACCAGUAUAGGAGUAUCCAAAGGCUGAUCAAAAAUGAGUAUUUUUGCUAAUUGGCAAAACAACAAAAAAGCAAACAGCUUAGCAAAAGGUCCACAAGUGGUGAAUUCAGCUAGGUUUAUGCCUCUCAAAUGUGUCUUGUUCCUUUUCAAAGUUGCCUAAAGGGCUGUACAAAUUUGUUGCCCACUCACCUUUGUAACUGGACUACAAUUUGUAGAUGACAUUCAUAAAAAUGAUCUUUGUCUUGAUUAGUUCUUAAGCAAUACAAUACUGUGCUUCUUUCACAAAGGCAGAGGCAUCUGAACACCACUAUCAUUUGCUGUGGGUGCUGUGUUACUUUUGGGUCUCCAGCCUGGGGUUGUGGCAAACCAAAGACUGGUUUUCUUCAUUUCAGUCUGCCUGUGGAUCUGGUUUGUUGUCCUGGUAUAGCUCACAGGAAGCACAAAGUGUUGCUCUUCAGGUAUAGUCUGUAUCUAGAUGGAAGGAGGCCUGCCUUUUGAGCACUUAGAACUUUGCUUUCAGCAAUCCCACAUAAAUCUCUAGUGUAAUAAAUCAUUUCAGAAUCUCUUCUUUGUCUUUGCC